UUUUUUUUCAAAGUCCUUU
rnacentral:sRNA from 1 species